rnacentral:tRNA from 1 species
GGUGUUAACGGUAGCAUGGCGGUCUCCAAAACCGUUGGUGGGGGUUCAAAUCCCUCCCGGGGCACCA